CAAAAAGCUGUGAAGAGGAGUAGUAGUCGUUCGAUCACCUCAAAGAGAGCUGACGGCAGGUGCGAGUCAGCAGGUGAAGACGAUGAACUCGCCUCGGAGCUUCUCCCGUGAAAGGGAAUCAUCAUUCUGAUUCCUGUGUAAUUGGAGACGUUGCCCGCGUCAAGGGUCAAACAAGGUCUUGAAUCGUUGCUGAUCGAUUCGGGAUGAAUGAGGGUGGUACCGCGGAGAUAGAACCUUCGCCCCUUGU
rnacentral:ncRNA from 1 species